rnacentral:tRNA from 1 species
GCUCCAGUAGCUCAGUUGGUUAGAGCAUCGGUUUUGUAAACCGAAGGUCGCAGGUUCGAGUCCUGUCAGGAGCA